rnacentral:rRNA from 1 species
AUAAGUUUAAUCGUUUAUCGAGAAACCGCGAACGGCUCAUUACAAUGGCCAUUAUUUACUUGAUCUUGAUUGUCUAAAUGGAUAACUGUGGAAAAGCUAGAGCUAAUACAUGCACUAAAGCUUUGUCCUUACGGAAAAGCGCAUUUAUUAGAACAAAACCACGCGGCUUCGGCUGCUUCUUGUUGACUCAGAAUAACUUAGCUGACCGCAUGGCCUUGUGCCGGCGGCGUGUCUUUCAAGCGUCCACUUUAUCAACUUGACGGGAGCAUAAUCGACUCCCGUGGUGGUGACGGAUAACGGAGGAUCAGGGUUCGACUCCGGAGAAGGGGCCUGAGAAAUGGCCACUACGUCUAAGGAUGGCAGCAGGCGCGCAAAUUACCCACUCUCGGCUCCAGGAGGUAGUGACGAGAAAUAACGAGACUGUUCUCUUUGAGGCCGGUCAUCGGAAUGGGUACAAUUUAAACCCUUUAACGAGUAUCAAGCAGAGGGCAAGUCUGGUGCCAGCAGCCGCGGUAAUUCCAGCUCUGCAAAUACAUAGAAUUAUUGCUGCGGUUAGAAAGCUCAUAGUUGGAUUCGUAUCGAUACCUUGGAACCCUUCGGGUGUCUCUAGGUGUUAUCGAUUUAUCGUAAUGUUCGGUUUUGAGUCCUUAACAGGAUUCUUAACAGGCAUUGCAAGUUUACUUUGAACAAAUCAGAGUGCUUCAAACAGGCGUUUUCGCUUGAAUGAUCGUGCAUGGAAUAAUAGAAAAUGAUUUCGGUUCAGUUUUAUUGGUUUUACGGACUGAGAUAAUGGUUAACAGAGACAAACGGGGGCAUUUGUAUGGUCCCGUGAGAGGUGAAAUUCUUGGACCGUGGCCAGACAAACUACAGCGAAAGCAUUUGCCAAGAAUGUUUUUAUUAAUCAAGAACGAAAGUCAGAGGUUCGAAGGCGAUCAGAUACCGCCCUAGUUCUGACCGUAAACGAUGCCAACUAGCGAUCCGCCGAUGGAAAUUAUAUUGCCUUGGUGGGGAGCUUCCCGGAAACGAAAGUCUUCCGGUUCCGGGGGAAGUAUGGUUGCAAAGCUGAAACUUAAAGGAAUUGACGGAAGGGCACCACCAGGAGUGGAGCCUGCGGCUUAAUUUGACUCAACACGGGGAAACUCACCCGGCCCGGACACUGUGAGGAUUGACAGAUUGAUAGCUUUUUCAUGAUUCAGUGGAUGGUGGUGCAUGGCCGUUCUUAGUUCGUGGAGUGAUUUGUCUGGUUUAUUCCGAUAACGAGCGAGACUCUAACCUACUAAAUAGUUGGUACAUACUCUUAGUGUAUACAGCUUCUUAGAGGGAUUUGCGGCGUUCAGCCGAAAGAAAUUGAGCAAUAACAGGUCUGUGAUGCCCUUAGAUGUCCGGGGCUGCACGCGCGCUACACUGGCAAAAUCAACGUGCUUGUCCUACCCUGAAAGGGGCGGGUAAACCAUUGAAAAUUUGCCGUGAUUGGGAUCGGAAAUUGCAAUUAUUUUCCGUGAACGAGGAAUUCCAAGUAAGUGCGAGUCAUCAGCUCGCGUUGAUUACGUCCCUGCCCUUUGUACACACCGCCCGUCGCUGCCCGGGACUGAGCCAUUUCGAGAAAUUUGGGGACCGUUGAUUUAAUUUUUCUAAAUUACUUUGAUGGAAACCAAUUUA